rnacentral:lncRNA from 1 species
GUCUGUGACCUACACCACAGCUCAUGGCAACACCAGAUCCUUAACCCACUGAGCGAGACCAGGGAUUGAACUCUCAACCUCAUGGUUCCUAGUUGGAUUCGUUAACCACUGCGCCAUGACGGGAACUCUGGAACUCCCUCAAUAUAUCUUUUAAGAAUUCUCCAAAGUAUCACUGGCUGCCCCAGCACCUAGCAGUUGGAACAGGGAAUCAACAUUUGGGAGCUGAUGGGCUCCAUAUACUAGGGUAAGUCACUCUGGUGUGUACAACCAGAAACUUUAUUUCCUUUCUACUUGGGCCUUUUAUUCCAGAAUAAGCCAAUAUGUUUUAUAUUUGAGUGGGGUACCCUAUUGGAAACAGGAAAGAAUUGUUGGACGUUUACCCCAUUCGUGAACUUGUUCUUUCGUUUCUUUUAUUUUUUUUUCUUUUGUUUCUUUAGAUGCUAGCAUCUGUGUGUACAGUUUGCAUUUUGCUUGUCUUGAAUUUGUCUUUAAAAAUAGGGAAUGCUUCAGGAAUUCUCUCUUGGCUCAGUGGAUUAAGGAUCCACCUUUGUCACUGCUAUGGCUCUGGUCACUGCUGUGGUGCAGGUUCAAUACCAGGCUCAGAACUUGUGCAUGCUGCAAGUGUGGCCAAAAAAUGGGGAAUGUUUCAAAUAUCCCUAAAUUCCUCUGAGGUGCAUUUUGGAUAAGUGAUCUGGUUACAGCUGUGAACGCAUGGGUGAGAGGAAGAUGAUUUUAUUGUAAUAAUGUGUUGCCGCAGUAUCAGUUACGAACACUACAGGGGCCUUAGGCAGGGUUAUUUUGAACCCUGUGCACCAUGUACUGCUGUUCGUACAUGGUUUGCUAUUUAAUUGCAUCGUUUGUUGUCUCCUGUGACAUUGGUAUAUAUGUAAAACUCCAAGACCAAACUAGAGGGCAUAUUUAGGAUUUUCUGUUUGUCCUUUGGGUGUCCUGUUUCAUUUUUUUGUUUGCUUGUUAAUAUUUCUUCAUUUACAACCAAAUCAGCAUUGUGAUAUUUAAAACUCUUACUGAUGUCAAAUGGAGGAAAGGGACAGAAAAAAGAAAAACAAAACUCUGUCUCUUCUAGUCCAAGACUGGGACAUUCCCAGGAAGAAGAGAAAGUUUCCACUUGGUUCCCAUAAUCACCAAAAGCAACAAAUAGAAAUGUCUUUUCCAUUAGAUGGCUAAACCCCUUUAUACUAAUAUUAUACAGGUGACUGUGAUGUGUUCUAUUGGGCAGAAACCAAAUUUGAAUCCAAUAUCAUUUGUAACUGAUGGGUUUUACACUAUUGUACUGGAUUCAUGGCUGAAGUUUUGGAAUGAGAACUGUGAGGAUCCUAUGUUUGUAUGUUUACAUAUAUGAUAGAUGUGCGGCAUUUCCAAAUUUGCAAAAAAGAUCUCUAUUUAAUUGGCUUAAAGGAAAUUAAGCACUUAUAUAAAUACUCGUAUAUUAAUAAUCAAAUUUAAAAGAAACUAGCCAAAAUGAAUUUUGAGUUCACGUGAUCUAGGAAGUAGUCAGUAUUAAUUAAUGUAUGAAUUAAUUAAAGUAUGAAUAUCUGGUCUUAAAGUUAGCUUAAGCUUGUUGGUUUCAUUAAUUACAGGCGUCUUUUUAGAGUCAUUAAGUAUAAUACUUUCAUUAUACCUGGGUUUACUAGAAAUCGUAUAUCAUUCCUCUUACAAAGUUUGUAAGCAAGAAAAAAAUAUGACAAAGCUUUUUAAGUAAGUAAAAUAGAGGUAAAUGAGGUAGAAGUUUUAAGUAAACUCUAUAGGAAUAAUUAUGUUUUGGGAAUGUAUGAAAUAGUUUUUCCAGAUUUUUAUAACUUUAAGUUAAAUGAAGAUAAUUCAUUGACUACCUGGGUCAUUUCAAAUAGGAUAAAAUACUAGGACACUAAUUGCUGGGCAGGUCUGAUAUCUUUGCCUUCUCAGGAGAGGAACACUGACACAUAAGUUUGUCAAUCAGGAAAUGCUGGUAUGGCAGGUUAUAAUUACUUGCCUCUUGGUUUUCACUAGAGAUUAAGGCUUUAAGGUUACGACCUAGGAGAAAUAUUUCAGUAUGCAAUGAUGUAGGAUAUGUGUUUUUAGCAAAGAAGGUAUGAGAAAUGCAAAUGCAUUUUGUUAAAGGGAAAAAGGUAGUUCUGUCCUACAGCUGGUUGUUUCUGAAUGGAAAAGAAAGGGAGGAACAGAUUAUAGAUACAGAAAGUUGUAGAAAGUUUGUGGAGGAGGAACACUGAAAGAGUUUUGUGCAUGGUCAGGACUGGCUAAGAUUGAGAUUAAUUCAGAAAAAGAAUUUUAAAGGUAAAGUGGUACAAAACAUGAUUUUGUUUCUCUAAGAGGACAAAGUUGUCUUUAAAUAUUGAAGUGCUUUUAGUAAUGGAUUGUUUCCUCAAAUCAUCUGUAUUUGCCAGUGGUCUCUUAUUAUCACUUGUUAAAACUUUUUGAUAUUUUUGACAAAAAACUUCUCAAAGAUCAAAUUCUAAAUGAAGUUUAUUUUAUUUUUUAAAUGAAGUUUAGAAUUUGACCUUUAGCUAACUCUGAGGUUUUCCAGAUGGUCCCUGGAAUACCUCAAAUUAUUUGUUUUCUCUCCAUCGCAGAGGGGAAUAUUAAACUAAUUAUGCAUAUUCGUUAUGUUAAAUUUUGUGGGAAGCAUUGUCAAAUAAGUGGGAUAAAACUUCUUAGAUUUUAUCUUACGGAUAAACAUUAUUGAUACACAUUCUAGAAAUUAUAUUCCUAAAAUUCUGGUAUAUUCUGGGAAAUGAUAUCAGUCAUAAUUUUAGUAAUUACCUUAAAUUGUUAUAUGUAAUUGAAAAGAAACUUGGUUACUGCUGUGACAUUAUAAUUCUGGUUGGUUGAUGCCAAAGCAAAAAUGCAUCUUUUUAUUUUUAUUUUAUUUUUUUAUUUUUUAUUUUAUUUUAGUCUUGUCUUUUUAGGGCCGCACCCGCAGCAGAUGGAGGUUCCCAGGUUAGGGGUCUAAUCAGAGCUAUAGCUGCUGGCCUACGCCACAGCAACAGCAACGCCAGAUCCAAGCCUUGUCUGCGACCCAUAUCACAGCUCAUGGCAAUGCCAGAUCCUUAACCCACUGAGCAAGUCCAGGGAUUGAACCUGCAACGUCAGGGUUCCUAAUUGGAUUCGUUUCCACUGUGCCACAAUGGGAACUCCAAAAAUGCAUCUUUUUAAUGGUUAGAGAUUAUCAAUUGUUAUUUAUGAUUUUACUGUGGCUUUCAAAUGACUCUGGUUUUACCGUGGCUUUUGAAUCACUGUAUAGAUAUUUUGUGAAGAAACAAGGAAGAAUGAUAAAAUCCUUUAUGUGCAAGCAUUUGUGCUAUUACAUCAAGCUAAAAUAAAGGAAGGGAAU